rnacentral:misc_RNA from 1 species
GCACCAAGAGAUAAUAAUACCAAGAAGAAGAUAAGGGUUCAUAUGCAAUGGAAUAUUUCUAAGCUGGACCACAAAUGCGUACAAAUAUAUCCUGUGAGUUUGCAUUUUAAACACAAUUGAUUGUCUGCAAUUUGCAAAGACAUGAGACUAUCAUGGUACUUCUUGUUUCCAGAUGAAAUCAUUCCGCAGCUGGGCCAAAUCCCUCAACCAGCUGGACCACAAAACCAGCAACCACAAUACCAAUUAUUAAACCAUCUAAAUCAUUAACUGCUGUCACAGAAGCCCCACAAACUUUGGGAAACAAUAACAACGGACUCCCCAGUCAUUGAACAUUGUGCUCCUCAGUCCUCCAGCUUUUCUACAGAUUCCUACCUAGAAUAUUUAUAUGCUUAUCGCAGGCUAGAAUUCUAAGAGCAAUAAAUAGGGACAUAAUCUAUACGACCGAGUUCUUUACAUAGGACAGACGAGAAAUAUAACCUUGCACAAUCUGAACAUUCCGAUGUACCAAUACCAUGUCCACUAGACAAAGCCUGAAGCUACACGACAAGGUAAAGUGUAACAAAGCUUUUACAUGUAAACUAAUGACAGCGUCGAUAAGAAAACAAUCAAGUAACAGCUACAGCCUCAGGAGUGGUUGCCACAGCAGCAGCCUUGACAGAAGCAGUAGCAGCUGCAUCUUCACUCGUUUUACCAUCCUUAGCUGGGGCUGGUGCUGGUGGUGGAGAAUGCUUUAGGUGAGGAGGUGUGUUGUGUUUCAAUUUUAUAAGUAUCUGGCGCAUCCUUGAGAGUUCAGUGGGUUUCCCUGGCUUUGGACCUUGGAUCACAACAAUGCCAGGCUUCUUCUCCUGAUCUUUCUUCCCUCUCUUUUUCUCUAUGGCUGGCACUUCAUUAGGAAUGAGCUCCGCAAUGGCCUUCCAAUAAUUAUUAUCUGCCUCAGCAUGGAAUCUCUCCCGGUUGGCAACAAAUACCUUCUCCUUUUCCCUGUUAGUGGCUUUAUUAUUCUCACAGGUGAUCUCCCUCUUCCUGUAGAACUCAACCUUGUAUUCACCAGCUUCCUGAAUUAUUUGGCUCAAUAGCUCUUUUUCCCUCUUCUCCUUCUCCUCCAAUCUCAAUGCAUUCUCUCUUCUCCAUUCUCUAAGCGCAAAUCCCUCCUCAAUCCCCAUCUCUGAUGAAGGCGGCAAAAUCGGACCGUCCGAUCCGCCAAACUCUCCAUCGAAUCCCUUUCCAUUCUCCUCCGGCUUAAACUCUCCGCCGACUCCGUACACCGGCUGAUGCGACUCGAAAACUUCAUCUCCGCCGGAGAAAGAGUCGAAUUGUUGGGAGUUGUAGUCGGCGUAACCACCGUUAUCUUCUUCGAAUGAGCGAUUUGACUCAGAUUGAGGAACUGAGUCAUCGAACGAGUCUGAAAUAGUAGACAUUGGUUUUUCUGCCUGUUUGCACGGACAAGCGCAAAAGUCUCU